GACGAACGCUGGCGGCGUGCUUAACACAUGCAAGUCGAACGGUGAAGGGACCAGCUUGCUGGUUCUGGAUGAGUGGCGAACGGGUGAGUAACACGUGAGUAACCUGCCCCCUUCUUCUGGAUAACCGCAUGAAAGUGUGGCUAAUACGGGAUAUUCUGGGUCUGUCGCAUGGCGGGCCCGGGAAAGAUAUUGCUUCGGUGGGGGAUGGGCUCGCGGCCUAUCAGCUUGUUGGUGGGGUGAUGGCCUACCAAGGCGGUGACGGGUAGCCGGCCUGAGAGGGUGGACGGUCACACUGGGACUGAGACACGGCCCAGACUCCUACGGGAGGCAGCAGUGGGGAAUAUUGCACAAUGGGCGCAAGCCUGAUGCAGCGACGCCGCGUGAGGGAUGGAGGCCUUCGGGUUGUAAACCUCUUUCGACAGUGAAGCAGGCCUGCUCCUUGUGGGUGGGUUGACGGUAGCUGGAUAAGAAGCGCCGGCUAACUACGUG
rnacentral:rRNA from 1 species